CAAAUGGAAAGGUGAUUUUUUUUUUUAUAAGAUUUAUGAGUAUUUAUGGUGAUUGCAGAUAGGGUUUCAGUGUUUGGUGAGGUUGGAGUAUUCUUCUUAUUAUUAGCCAGGUACGCUCUCAUCCGUAGACCAUAUUUCCCUUUGGUGUUAAAAGUAGUGGCAUUCUCUGGAUUUUGUUGGAUUGAAGGACAGAAUUUGCUUAUAUGUCCCGUGACUCCACAUGAAAAGCAUAUAUCGGGAAGCUUCUCAAAUUUGAAAUGUAUCCAUUGUAGUUCCCCUCGGAUCUUGAGGAACUGAGGGUAUCCAAUGAG
rnacentral:misc_RNA from 1 species